ensembl:lncRNA
GUCCACUUUUCCGGCGAGGUGAACGCGGAAGAGCGGGAGCUGAGGAUUUCCGACUACUCAGAUUGUGGCGCGGCGACUGCUGCAAGAUGGAGGUGGGCUUGGCGGCCGAAGAUGGUCGGGAUGGUCCCCGGGAGCGGCGAGGCUUGGGUGAAGCCGAGAGGCCGCAGCAGAACCACGAAGUGCGGCCUCAGUCCGGGGCAGACCGGUUACCAAAACAUUCCUACUGGUUGGAUCUCUGGCUCUUCGUCCUCUUAGACGUGGUGUUGUUUUUCUUCGUGUAUUUUUUGCCCUGAAUGGUUUGCCUGAUACCUAAAUUAAGAAUUUUGGCUCCUGGAGUGGAUCCUGAAAAUGACUACAAACUUCUAGAACAAAGAAGACAGGAUUGUGCACCAGAAGAAUUUCAGACUCUAAGGGACCUUCAUUUCAUUUUACACAUUCUGUUAUUCUUUGCGGGAACUAUAUUAAAUGGGUAAUGAUCUCAGCCAUUCAUAGCUAAGUUCUUAAAACUCGGCUCUGAUUCACAUUUUAAAACUUUUUACAGAUUAUUUGGUGGCUUUACAGGGGCUGAACAUAAAAGGUAUUUAUACAUGAAGAUUUAUUAUACUCAUUAGGAAAUAGAUUGUUUUUCCUUUAACAUUUUAAGGGUUGGCCAAGGUUUAGUAUGAUGCAGAUAAUAUGGUGAAAUAAUAAAUUAUCCAAAAGCAAGGGAAGAAUUUUGAAAAAAGGAGUUAAAAGCUAUACAGAAAAUGCAGGUCCACAAUAUAUUUGCUGUAAGUGCCAGUUUAAUUUUUAGAUUAAGUGGACCUCUGUUAUGGUUGCUAGGUUGGUACAAUCUUAGAGAAAGUAUAUAAUAUCCAGUAAUGGAAGGCUAGAGUGCAUGGGGUCUUACCUGGAUGCUUCCCCUCACUUUUAAGCUCUUGAACUCUGUAAAGUAGGACUGUGUGUUUCAAACCUAAUUUUUAUUGUGGUUGCAUUAAGAAUGUUUGUGGCCAAAACAUGUUUAUUAUAAUGUCUGUAACUUACUUUAAUACUCCAGCAAAGUCACCAUAUUUACUCUUUGAGCAAAUGUUUGAGCACUUACUGUGGGCCAGGUACAACACUGAACGAAACAGACAAAAAUCCUUGCCUUUAUGGAGCUUACAUUCUUUUUUAUCUAAGUAUGUUAACAAGAAUUUAUUUCCCAGGAGUGAUCAGCUAGUAUUUAGUCAAAAAGGUCACAUUCCCAAAGCAGCUACUAUAAGCCCUUCAGAAGCUAUUCCUAUUAUAUAACAGAUGUUAGAAAUGGGCUCUUGUCCUUGAAAUUGGUGACAUUUUAUAUAUUGGAAUUGCCUAAAUAUUUUUCCCGUCCCUUAGAAGCAGGGUAUAGAUCUGGUAAACUCUACAUCCUCUGUUCUUCAGAAUGGCAUUUAGGGUUAGUGUGAAAUCUGGGAUUGAUUUUGGAGGCUUUUAGCCUAAUGCUGACUAUAAGUUUAACAAUUACGCCUUCAGAGAACCUAACAAACCUGCCUGAGGAGAACUUUUUAGGCAAGGUUGAAGCAUCUAGAGAAACAGAACUGGGAUUUCAUUGAGGGUACCAAACAGAUUGUAUGAAUUGUUUUGUGCUACUUGCUAGUAAUUUUGUCCAAUAAAUGUUGAUUAUACAGGUAAAUUGGGUCUGAUUUCAUUUUAACAAAUUACUUGUGUGUUAGGUCACACACAAAGAUUUAUAAUCCAUACUACCUUUCUGAGCCUAGAAUCAGCCUUCUACCACAACUAUUGAAUAUUCUGAAAAUUUCUAAUACAGGGAAGAUACUACUAAGAAGAAAGAUCGUAGUAUUGUGACAUGACUGUAAAUGGUAUCCAAAAUGGUGGCAGUAUGAGGUUUGAAUAUUUCCUACAGAUGAAAUUGUGCCUACCACUGAACUGUGCCAUCUCAGGGUAACAUAGUAUACUUGAAGGCUUUUAACUGGGUAAAUGGGACACCAAGAAGAAUUGGCGAACUUGCUGUGAUUAAAAAUAGAGACAUCAAAAGUAUUUACAUCAAUGUGACUUUAGUCUGAUAAAUUCCUUUGUAAAUUUCAUAUAAGUGAAAUGAUUGUUUUAAUAACCGUUUGAAAUCAACUGGCCAAUGAGCAAUUGUGAGGAAGUCUUUAGAGUUAUGUUAACCUGAAAAUUUUAGGAUGUGAAGUGCUCCAUAUACCUAGUCCCUAAAUGUAAUGGGAAUACAUUCAGAGACUACAGAAUAUUUAGUAAGGGCAUUUAACGUAGAGGUAAUUAUGCUCUAGGAAAAGGGUCAUCAAACUACACUAAUGUUUGAGGCCAAAACAUGUUUAUUAUAAUGUCUGUAACUUACUUUAAUACUCCAGCAAAGUAUUGCCUCUCUUUAAAGGCCUGUGAGCCAAGAAUGAUUUUUAACAUCUUAAAAUGAUUAAAAAAAGUCAAGACUAUUUCAUGAUGUG